GUCACGCGACGUUUUCUAUAUUAUUUUGUUUGAUUAUAAAGAAUUUAUCGUUAUUCGAAACUGAUAAUCGUUUUUCGUGACCUAGUCGCUUACAAUAAUGACCAUGGAAUCAAAAGAUGAUCGUAUUCGAAUAUGCUGUUGUUGAACUUGAAGAUGGUAUCCAAUCAGUUCCAAUGAAUUAGUUAGCUAAACAUGAUAAACUGUGUUAUUAUCCAACACACGUCAAAUCAAUGCCCAAUGUAAAUUAAAUGGUGAAAAACCUAAUACCAGUAGAUACAAACUGGUCUUUAUGUAAAUUCAUAAAUAUCCUUGGUUCUAGUAAUGAGUGACUCCGAGGCUGAGACCGCCACAAAAGAGACUACCCGGAUGUACAAUGAUCACCUAGAGUUAUCUCAUGUGUUUUUAUAUCUGAAUUAUCAAGAUCAAAUAAAUAAUUCUCUGGAAGCUACUCGUAACAUAUGGCCGGAGAGUAUAACAUUUGAUUCGAUGACAGGUGAUAUAUCUGUGAAUUUUAUGCUUGUUUCUUCAUCCAAAGCCAAAACACCAAUGGACAGAGAUGGUUAGAACCGUAGUACUGCUUUUUAUGAAAGAACAAUUAAAGAACAAGGAUUAAUUGUUGAAGAAGAUCUUGUUGGGAGAGCUACUGAAAAUUUAUCACGCUGUAUGUCAAAUGGUUAUAUUCUCUGGAAGAAAAUGCCUGCAACAUUAUUUACCAUUUCUCUCUUUUUACUAUAAGUAAGGUUCAUUAAGUAUUAAUUUAAUCAACUUUUGUAUCCUCUUUUUUUAAGAUUGUGGUUGUUAUUGCUGCUUUAUUUGGAGUUGUGCUGUAUCAAAUGUCUGUUUUAACAUCACUUAGUCAUACAAAUCAAUCAGAUGGGAUGAGUACACACAGCAAUAUAUUUAUUCAAACUACUACAGCUUUCAUCAAUUUGGUAGAAGGACCAUUGGUAGAGGAUUUCUUAGGUUUAAAAUAAAGCUGUUAUUUGUCUGACUGAAAUGGAACUACUGCGCACAAAAACCUAAUUGGACGAAUCUUUGACAAUGAAUAUGUACUUCUUCUAAUUUGUAAAUUAUUAUACAUCAAUAAUUUAUACAGCUUUUUUGAAAGGCAAAAAUGUUGGUCAUCCUGCUAAAUAUUUGCUUACAUUCAAUCUUCAUUGAGAAGAAUGUAGUCCAGAUGGAUAUCUCAUGGAAUUAGCCAUCAAAUUGUUCAUUAUAAUGGUUGGGCAACAAUGUAUUGACUGUAUUGUAUUGGUUUUUUAGUUAAAGCCAAAAACUAAAUCUGUUUAUAUUUGAGUGUGGAUUUAAAUUAGCUGAGAACACAGGUCUCUUAGAAAAUUUGAAAUCAUAAACCGGAGAAGAAGAUUUAGCUACAGCUGUUAAGAAACCUUGGAUUAAAGAUUACAAUACUUUGGAUUGGUGACCUUCUCAGAAUAUUUGGAUAUGGUUUUGUAACAUUAUUUGUUACUUCAUUUCCACUGGCUCCAUUCUUUACAUUGUUAAACAAUGUGUUUGAAAUGAGAUUAGACGCAAAAAAAUUUAUGAAGUAUUUCUGUCGACCAAUUCCUCAUAGAGUGCCUAAUAAUGGUAUUCAUAAUAGCGUUUUCUUCCAAUUAUAUACCUCGUAUGGUGUACAUAAGUUUGGUGAUUGAAGACAAUACAGACAAGGAUUUCUUAAAUAAUACUUGAGCUUACUUUGUUACCAAAAACUUUGAAAGUGGUGUCGCUCCAUUGUCGUCGUCAUAUACUAAUGUUACUUAUUGCCGUUAUACAGACUAUAGGAAUCCCCCAUGGUUGCCAUAGAAGUACGAAACACCCACAUUUUAUUAUGAAUUGCUCGUAGCAAGCCUCACAUUCAUUGUUAUAUUUCAAAAUAUUGUAUCUUUAGUGAAAGUAGCCGCCAUUCAAUAGUUGAUACCAGAUGUUCCAAAUGCCCUUAGCGACAGCGAGAGUCUUACUUUACUACUCAAAUGAUCAUUAAGAAACAAGGCAAAAAAAAAAACGUUUUGUAACAACGGAGGAAUACACAGCACACAUUCAAUACACUAAUACAUUUAUAUUAUGUAUUAUUUAAUAAUAUAGUUCUAAUAUUUUGUUAUUUUAUACUUGACUGUGUGUUACAUUAUAUAUUUUUAUUAUAUUAUUAUAAUAUUUAUGAUUAUUUUUAUUUUUAAACAAUAUAACAUUUGAACACUGUUA